UGGGGAAUUGUUCGCAAUGGGCGCAAGCCUGACGACGCAACGCCGCGUGGAGGAUGAAGGUCUUCGGAUUGUAAACUCCUGUUGAUCGGGACGAAAAGCUUCGACCUAAUACGCCGAAGACUGACGGUACCGGUUGAGGAAGCCACGGCUAACUCUGUGCCAGCAGCCGCGGUAAUACAGAGGUGGCAAGCGUUGUACGGAAAUACUGGGGGUAAAGGGCGCGGAGGCGGCCUUCUAAGUCGGACGGGA
rnacentral:rRNA from 1 species